rnacentral:rRNA from 1 species
CCUACGGGCGGCAGCAGUGAGGAAUAUUGGUCAAUGGUCGGGAGACUGAACCAGCCAAGCCGCGUGAGGGAGGAAGGUGCCAAGUAUCGUAAACCUCUUUUGUCAAGGAACAAAAACUGGGACGCGUCCCCGGAUGAGUGUACCUGAAGAAAAAGCAUCGGCUAACUCCGUGCCAGCAGCCGCGGUAAUACGGAGGAUGCGAGCGUUAUCCGGAUUUAUUGGGUUUAAAGGGUGCGCAGGCGGUCUGUUAAGUCAGCGGUAAAAGCCCGGGGCUCAACCCCGGCCAGCCGUUGAAACUGGCUGUCUGGAGAUGUAGAGAGGUAUGCGGAAUGCGCGGUGUAGCGGUGAAAUGCAUAGAUAUUGCGCAGAACUCCGAUUGCGAAGGCAGCAUGCCGGCUGCAAACUGACGCUGAGGCACGAAAGCGUGGGUAUCGAACAGGAUUAGAUACCCCAGUAGUC